rnacentral:rRNA from 1 species
GGCUCAGAAUCAACGCUGGCGGCGUGCCUAACACAUGCAAGUCGAACGAGAAAGUGGGGGCAACUCCACAAGUAAAGUGGCAGACGGGUGAGUAACACGUGAACAACCUACCCUCGAGUGUGGAAUAACACCGCGAAAGCGGUGCUAAUACCGCAUAACAUCUUCGGAUCGCAUGAUCUGGAGAUCAAAAGCGAAAGUUGCUUGAGGAGGGGUUCGCGCCUGAUUAGCUAGUUGGUGAGGUAACGGCCCACUAAGGCUGCGAUCAGUAGCCGGCCUGAGAGGGCGAACGGCCACACUGGAACUGAGACACGGUCCAGACUCCUACGGGAGGCAGCAGUGGGGAAUUUUGCGCAAUGGGCGAAAGCCUGACGCAGCAACGCCGCGUGGAGGAUGAAGGCCUUCGGGUCGUAAACUCCUGUCAGUGGGGACGAAUGCUUCGCAAGAAGUUUGACUGUACCCGCUGAGGAAGCCACGGCUAACUCCGUGCCAGCAGCCGCGGUAAUACGGAGGUGGCAAGCGUUGUUCGGAAUUACUGGGCGUAAAGGGCGCGUAGGCGGCAUGGCAAGUCAGAUGUGAAAGCCCCGGGCUUAACUCGGGAAUUGCAUCUGAAACUGCUUUGCUUGAGUCCUGGAUGGGAUAGUGGAAUUCCCAGUGUAGCGGUGAAAUGCGUAGAUAUUGGGAGGAACACCUGCGGCGAAGGCGGCUAUCUGGACAGUGACUGACGCUGAGGCGCGAAAGCUAGGGGAGCGAACGGGAUUAGAUACCCCGGUAGUCCUAGCCGUAAACGAUGGGCACUUGGUGUUGGGGGUAUUGAGUCCCUCGGUGCCGGAGUUAACACGUUAAGUGCCCCGCCUGGGGAGUACGGUCGCAAGACUGAAACUCAAAU